AAAAGGAGCCACUUAAGGGGUCUGUACAUUGCAAUUCAUUUCACUGGAUCAAAACUUAUCAAGUAUGUUUAAAUUCCUGAGGUCGCAGUGACACUCCUGGUCACCGUGAGUGGCCGCGAGAGAACCAGCUCAGGAUCUGAAGGUGGUAAAUGAGGAGGGAGCAGGAGCGUUUGGCCUGCCACCCCUACAAGGGCUCUCCCAGGGGUGACUGGAGAAGGGGGCUGCACCCUCGAAAGCUCCGGAGAUGGUGCCAUGACCAGUCCUUGGCUGGGUGGGCGGGUGGAUUUCAGGGGACCCGGGCCUCCGCCUCAGGCAGGCCCAGGGCCAGAGAGGUGCUGAAUGAGACUUGGUUAUCUCGGUGUGGCUUUCUCAGGCUUCUGCACCUCCACCCUGUGGGGCAGGGCGGCCAUGGAGUUUUCAGGGCCCAAGGCAACAUGAAAAUGCAGGGCUCCUUGUUCAAAAGUGUUAAGACUACCAUAACAGCGACAGCCGAGUCCUGAGUGGAGCUCAGAGCCUGUGGGAUGCAUGGGCCGCAUGCCCAGGAGGCCGCCCUGCUCCAGGCCUCGUCCCUCAGGGGUGAGGACCCGUGACCCAAAGAAAAUGAGGGCAAAGAACCCAUUCCCAUGCCUGCUGGUUCCCCUGCCUGGUCUCCGGGCCAACGGCUGCCUGGGACCCUCUUAUGGGGACAUGUGGGAAGGGAGAGAAGCCGUCCACAGAUGCCCUGAGAGGGCUGAGAACCCACAAGGAAAUUCAGAGAGCCAGUGGCAGAGCCAUAACCCGUCCUCUGUCACUGAAGCGCCUCACCAUGUGCAUGGCCCUGGCUGUGCCCAUGGGCUGUCACUCAGGGUCCUGGCUUCGGGGGACCUGUGGCUGGGGACACAGCCUUGGAGCCAGCCCUGCCCUGCAGGCCCCUGGGCCUGUGGACCAGCUAGAGAAGAGAGAGCGAGGAGGCAGCUGUGACAUCGCUGGAUGAGAGCCUUGCCAGGCCCCGGGGACGCAGGGCAGGCUCAGCACGGCAGAUGUUCCAUGAUUGGGAGGAAACCGAGGCAGACGGAGGCUCAGAACCCGCGGCCCUGUGCCUGUGGCGGCUGGGCCCAGCCUCAUUUCCGAGGAAGCCAUCCGUGCGCUGGUGGGGCGGAGAGGGAAGAUGCAUGGACUUGCCUGGCAGGCUGUCGCCAAAGAGGCCGAACGUCUGCUCCCAAUUACCCGCAGCCUUGCUCCGUUGUUUUUUCAAUUCAACAGAAAAGUCUUUUUUUGUCCUCAAAUGAAGUUAAUGGCUUUUUAAGUCGCCAUAUGUUGACUUCGGUUAGAUCCCUUUGCAGUCGUUCAUGUGACCCAAGUUUGAGGACCAAGCCCCCAAGUGCCUGUGUCAGCCCAAGGUGUGUGUCUCUGAAGGGGGGGUCUCCAAAGGAAAAUGGAGGUGCCAUUCCCUGAAGAAGGGGACCAUUGGCCCGGCAGGCAGUAAUCCUGGCCGUCCACCAGGCACGGAGCGCCUGGCUUGGCUGCUGUUUGGAAUCGUGGGCCCGGGUUUCCGGGAUCGCAAAGCCCCACGCUAAGACGGAAGCUUUUUAAGUGAGCCAAAGCUCCCAGGUGCUGCCGCUGCUGCUGGACCAGGGACCACACUUUGAGAACUGCUGUCUUGAUUGACAUUCACAACAGCCGAAUUAGGGACCAAGGAAGAAACUGAAGCAGAGAGAGCAGAAGCGGCCUGCUCAAGGCCACACAGCUAGAAACUGACAGAGGCAGGACUGGAACCCAGGCCGAGUGGAUUCCGAAACCCACCACCUGCAGCUCCUGGCGCCUGCCUCCAUCUUCAAAGCCAGUGGCAUAGCAUCUUCCGAUCUCUGCCUCAGAUCCUCCUGCCUCCCUCUCACAGGAACUUUUGUGAUUCCAUUGGGCCAAGCUGAGUGAUCCAGGAUAACCUCCUCAUCUCAAGAUCAUUAAUUCAAUCACAUUUGCAAAGUUCCUUUUGCUGUAUAAGGUGACAUCAUCACAAGCUCCAGGGAUCAGGCUGUGGACAUCCUGGGGAGCCCUCACUCGGCCAGCUGCAUCCAGGAAGCCCCCCAGUGCUGGACAGACAGGAUGGUUGGUCAUCUAUUAGGGUCCCAUGUGUCCUCCUUGCCCUUGCCCAGCAUCAUUCUUCCAUCACAGCCAUCUUUCCCUGACGGCCUGAAUGUAGGACUCAGCCCUUUGCCAUGCACCCUGAUAGCCAUGAGCGUGGAUCCCAGCUGACAAGUGGGGACAAUGAUUUACCAUCCAGACCUGUGUGACACCUGUGUCUUUCCACCCAGGAUCUGAACCGGUGAAAUCCGGGGCCACCGAAGCGGAGCGCGUGAACUUAACCACUUGGCCAUGGAGCCAGCCCCAUGACUAGUCUUCUUGUAAGAAGAGGAAAAGAGACAGACACACAGGGGAGAAGGCCAUGUGACGAUGGAGACAGAGAUGGGAGCGAUGCGGCUGCGAGCCAAGGACACCGAGGAUUGCUGGCCACCACCAGAGGCUGGGAGAACGGCCUGGAGCAGAUUCUCCCAGAGUCUCAGAGGGAGCGCAGCGCUGCUGACGCCUUGAUUUCAGAUUUAUGGCCUCCAGACUAUGACAGAAUAAAUUCCUGUUGUUGUCAGCCACCCAGGUUGUGGGCCUUUGAACAUGUAGGAAACAAACACAGAGCUAAUCCCUGGGGCUGGGACCAAGCACCAGGGGUUUUUACAGCCCUGCCUCCCCCUUCUCAUGAUUCCAACACAAAGCCAGGACUAAGAAGCGCUGGCUAGAGGGGGAUGGGGUCCCUUCCAGGAUCUCCAUGUGAGAGAGGAGAGGGAUCCAUCCUGUGCUCCUUUCUUGUUCUUGUCAUUGUCCUUGUCAUUGUCCCCUCCCUCCUUUCCCACUCCCACCAGCAUGAGUGCCGGCUGGGUGACUAACAGUUCAGCUCGCCUGGGGCUGGAGAGGUUCCUGGGGCACAGACUUUCACUGCUA
ensembl:lncRNA